rnacentral:rRNA from 1 species
GCGCAGGAAAAGAAACCAACAGGGAUUGCCCCAGUAACGGCGAGUGAAGCGGCAACAGCUCAAAUUUGAAAUCUGGCUUCGGCCCGAGUUGUAAUUUGCAGAGGAAGCUUUAGGCGCGGCACCAUCUGAGUCCCCUGGAACGGGGCGCCAAAGAGGGUGAGAGCCCCGUAUAGAUGGACGCCUAGCCUGUGUAAAGCUCCUUCGACGAGUCGAGUAGUUUGGGAAUGCUGCUCAAAAUGGGAGGUAAAUUUCUUCUAAAGCUAAAUAUUGGCCAGAGACCGAUAGCGCACAAGUAGAGUGAUCGAAAGAUGAAAAGCACUUUGAAAAGAGGGUUAAAUAGCACGUGAAAUUGUUGAAAGGGAAGCGCUUGUGACCAGACUUGCGCCGGGCGGAUCAUCCGGUGUUCUCACCGGUGCACUCCGCCCGGCUCAGGCCAGCAUCGGUUCUCGUGGGGGGAUAAAGGGGGCGGGGGCGAAGUUCCACCUAGGGGAUUUAACAAAGGGGGUUUAUAACGGCUUGGGGGGCCAAGGAGUACGGGGGUUUUGCCCAGGUUGGGGGGCCUAAGGGCCAGGGAGACUCACGAGGGUGGCAGCCCCCGAAACACUGUCUUCUAGGAUAUUUACAACCUGUGGUUCGGAAUGCAAGAAUCCAAAAUUUCGAGAUUGUUGGCGGCUUCCACUGGGGCGAUUACUGGGGGGGCAAUCCACUGGAUGGGUUUCCUGUUUGCUUGGCCGGUAAGGGACUUUUGAGAAGGCAUCCCCACGGGGGUAACCGGCAUUGUCCGGGU